ACGACGGUCCUGUUUCUGUUUUUGGCUUCUGGGGAUAUGGAUGUGCUUAUGUCUCGCGUUACUUCUGCCAUUUUGAGGGAUUUUUAUCAAGCGACAUUGAAAGCGCACCUGCCGUGGGUCGGGUGGCAGGUGUACAUGUAUUGAGGUUUGUUGGCACUGCACGAAUAGUGGUCAUGUUUUAAUUGGUUUCGUGGUAGUCAGUGCCCAGCCGACAGCAAAUCAUCCGCUGCGUUGGACGUCUUCGUGACAUGGCUGGGUAAUGACCUGGCAUCAUGUUAAGGAAGCACAAAGACUCAACCAUCACUGAGGGAGUGAGCGGAACAUAUGUCAAGCGGGAGGCACCUCCAGAACUUUCAAUCGUCAAUGUGUGGACGCAGCAACCUAAGCCUCCCAAGAAUGAUUGGAAGAAGAAAAUGUCGCUUUCUUCUAGCCAGCCGCCGGGCUCGUCGGGCAGCAUCGUGCCUCGUGGUGUGGCGCGCGGUAGCCAGGCGCGCGUCUCCACCGGUCACGAGGGCACCUACAACGCCG